rnacentral:misc_RNA from 1 species
GAAAUGCAAUAAGUAAUGUGAAUUGCAGAAUUCAGUGAAUCAUCGAAUCUUUGAACGCACAUUGCGCCCGCCAGUAUUCUGGCGGGCAUGCCUGUUCGAGCGUCAUUUCAACCAUCAAGCCCCCCGGCUUGUGUUGGGGACCUGCGGCUGCCGCAGGCCCUGAAAAGCAGUGGCGGGCUCGCUGUCACACCGAGCGUAGUAGCAUACAUCUCGCUCUGGGCGUGCUGCGGGUUCCGGCCGUUAAACCACCUUCGUAACCCAAGGUUGACCUCGGAUCAGGUAGGAAGACCCGCUGAACUUAAGC